CUACGGGUCGCUGCAGUGAGGAAUAUUGCACAAUGGGGGGAACCCUGAUGCAGCAACGCCGCGUGGAGGAUGACGCAUUUCGGUGUGUAAACUCCUUUUAUAUGUCAAGAAAAUGACGGUAGCAUAUGAAUAAGCACCGGCUAACUCCGUGCCAGCAGCCGCGGUAAUACGGAGGGUGCAAGCGUUACUCGGAAUCACUGGGCGUAAAGGACGCGUAGGCGGGUUGGAAAGUCAGGUGUGAAAUCCUACAGCUUAACUGUAGAACUACACUUGAAACUUCUAAUCUAGAGUAUGGGAGGGGGAGAUGGAAUUAGUGGUGUAGGGGUAAAAUCCGUAGAUAUCACUGGGAAUACCUAAAGCGAAGGCGAUCUCCUGGAACAUUACUGACGCUAAGGCGUGAAAGCGUGGGGAGCAAACAGGAUUAGAUACCCCAGUAGUC
rnacentral:rRNA from 1 species